UAGACAAGGGAGCUCAGGUAUCACUACCCAGUAAUGAGAUUGCUGAAUCAUAUGGUGGUGUUAUUUUUAGUUUUUUGAGAAACCUCCAUAAUGUUUUCCAUGAUGGCUACAGUAAUUUACAUUCCCACCAAUUGGUCUGUUCACGUUUUCUGUUUCUUCCUGGUUCAAUCUUGGUAGAUUGUACGUGUCCGGGAAAGUAUCCAUUCAGGAAUGGAGAAUGGGGAAGAAUGGAGACAUGUGUCUGGGAGAUAUACAGGGCUCAGGACAUGAAAUGCUUUAUGGUGAUGCUAAAGAGUUUGGAUUUCAUCUUAGAGGCAAAGAGAGCCAUUGAUACAUUUUAAGAAGAAUGGAAAUAUGCUUAAGAGUUUUGGAUUAUAACUCCUUUUAUACCUGCCUCAGUGCAAAUAAAAAGAGUAUGGAAGCAUACUUGAAAAUACAGAGAUUGGUCAGAAGGCUCUAGU
rnacentral:lncRNA from 1 species